AGCGAACGCUGGCGGCAGGCUUAACACAUGCAAGUCGAGCGGGCAUCCUUGUGGUGUCAGCGGCAGACGGGUGAGUAACGCGUGGGAACGUGCCCUUCGGCUCGGAAUAACUCUGGGAAACUUGAGCUAAUACCGGAUACGUUCGAGAGCAGAAAGGUUUAUCUGCCGAAGGAUCGGCCCGCGUCUGAUUAGCUAGUUGGUGAGGUUAUGGCUCACCAAGGCCACGAUCAGUAGCUGGUCGGAGAGGAUGAUCAGCCACACUGGCACUGAGACACGGCCCAGACUCCUACGGGAGGCAGCAGUGGGGAAUAUUGGACAAUGGGGCCAACCCUGAUCCAGCCAUGCCGCGUGAGUGAGGACGGCCUUAGGGUUGUAAAUCUCUUUUCGACGAGGCGAUAAUGACGGUACCGGAGGAAUAAGCCCCGGCUAACUUCGUG
rnacentral:rRNA from 1 species